rnacentral:rRNA from 1 species
CCCUUAGAUGUUCUGGGCCGCACGCGCGCUACACUGAUGAAUUCAACGAGCACUAACCUGUGCCGAAAGGUUCGGGUAAUCUUGUGAAAUUUCAUCGUGAUGGGGAUUGAUUAUUGCAAUUUUUAAUCAUAAACGAGGAAUGCCUAGUAAGCGUGAGUCAUCAGCUCACGUUGAUUACGUCCCUGCUCUUUGUACACACCGCCCGUCGCUCCUACCGAUGGGUGAUCCGGUGAAUGAUUCGGACUUCAGCGGCUCCCCUGGGGUGCGCCGGAGAAAGUUUUGUGAACCUUAUCACUUGGAGGAAGGAGAAGUCGUAACA